ensembl:lncRNA LINC02685 long intergenic non-protein coding RNA 2685
AGUCCGAGGCCCAUUAGGAGCACAGUGAACAGCAGCCCAGGCGAGCCCAGGGAGGCAAGAAAAUGAGGCUCCCCGUGAGGUCUAAUAAACACCUCUCGCCACACCCCAAACACAUAGACACGCAAUAGAGCCCAUAGGUCCUGAGUGAGUCCCCCUGGCCCACCCCAUUCAGCUGAGAUCUGACAACAUAUGUUUGGGGACAAACAGCCCCAGCAGCCAGGAGCAGGCCACAUCAUACAUAGUCAGCAUCAGCCAUGGUCCCCUCCCACUCUCCUGGGGGAAAAAGGUGCUUUACAGGCAGCGUGGCAUCCGAGCAUCCCCAUGGCGAUGCUGAGGUCAGACCUCACUGUGGUGAUCUCACGCUGGGGCCACCGGACUCAGGCCAGGCUGGGAGUAGGCUGUCUAGCCAUUGCUGGCUGUCAUUGUCACCAAGGGAAGGGGAGAAGCUGUGAAGAGUUGCUCUGGAAAAAACAAAUCUGCUCAUAGGACAAUGGGUCUGGGUGAACCUAUCCCGGCCCUCUUGGCUGCUGGGCCAGGGCCUGGUUUUUCACAGGGCACCAUUGAGACCACAGGAAGUGGCUUCCUGCCUCUGAAGACAGCACACAACUGCCCUAGAAAGCGCUCUUGUCACCCCUGCUGGCUGAGCCAGACUCCAGGCAGCCUCCAGCCACCCGUGCCUCCGGUUCACCCCUGCCUGCCUGCCCGCCUGCUGCUGUCCUCAGCCAAGCCCUUCUGCAUUCCCCGGCUCGAGGCCCCACUGUACUACCUGCCUAGUUGGGACACUUUUGCAGGAGGGACUGUCGCCUUUCUUUUGCUGGACUUUUAUUUUUUUGAGACAGAGUCUUGCUCUGUUGCCCAGGCUGGAGUGCAAUUGCACAAUCUCGGCUCAUUGCAAGCUCCGCCUCCCAGGUUCAAGUGAUUCUCCUGCCUCAGCCUCCCUAGUUGCUAAGACUACAGGGUAGAGAAUCAGAGGCUUGUAGAUGUCUUUGCCACUUCCACGGGAUCUCUGGGAGCUGGAAACUGAGCUUUAAGAAAUAACUAUAGUGCAAAGGGAACUAAGGGAAAAGGGUUCAGCCCAAAGCAGAAGGGACUGUGAUGAUCACAGUGACCUCCUGAGGCCAGCAUGGUGGUAGCAGCCAGAGACAGCAGCUGAGUGAGACCCUAAGGGAGGGAUGAGCCAGGCAGUGUGUGGUUGGAGUUCUCCCUACACAUCUCGUUUUCCUCACCUCCAGAUCACACACAUGCACACACACAUAUGCACCCACACACCCCUUACACACUCCGGCCCGAAGGUUUCUGCAGGACUCCUUCCUGGCACUCUCUCCAGUGCUGCCAGCGUCGCACCACACUGCAAGGCUUUGCAAACUUUCCUUCCAAAGUGAAGGAGACCCUCUGGCCAUCUGAGGCUCGGUCUGAAGCAACAGCCUCAGAGCGCAAUCUCAGGCAUGCAGGAAGUGCAGGAAGGCCACGUGCCACAUACGUUAUCUCACUUAAUCUCAUUAGCAGGAAAUGUCUUUAAAGUCUUAUGUUGGUGCUUAAAAAUUCCUGAGCAGUUUAGCCCUUAAUAAAGCCAGGCUUUUUAAAAUUUGAAA